CAAUAGCGUAUAUUAAAGUUGUUGCAGUUAAAACGCUCGUAGUCGGAUUUCGGGGCGGGUCCGCCGGUCUGCCGAUGGGUACGCACUGGCGGGCGCGUCCUUCCUUCCGGAGACUGGCCCUACUCUUAGCUGAGCGGGGUCGGGAGUCGGAUCGUUUACUUUGAAAAAAUCAGAGUGUUUCAAGCAGGCAGCCCGCUCUUGCAUGGAUUAGCAUGGGAUAAUGAAAUAGGACUUUGGUGCUAUUUUGUAGGUUUCGAACACCGAAGUAAUGAUUAACAGGGACAGUCAGGGGCACUCGUAUUCCGCCGAGAGAGGUGAAAUUCUCAGACCAGCGGAAGACGAACCACUGCGAAAGCAUUUGCCAGGGAUGUUUUCACUGA
rnacentral:rRNA from 1 species